AACGAACGCUGGCGGCAUGCCUAACACAUGCAAGUCGAACGAGACCUUCGGGUCUAGUGGCGCACGGGUGCGUAACGCGUGGGACCCUGCCCUUAGGUUCGGAAUAACUCCCCGACAGGGGUGCUAAUAUCGGAUAAUGUCUUCGGACCAAAGAUUGAUCGCCUUUGGAUGCGCAGGCGUUGGAUUAGCUAGUUGGUAGGGUAAAAGCCUACCAAGGCGACGCUCCAUAGCUGGUCUGAGAGGAUGAGCAGCCACACUGGGGCUGGGACACGGCCGAGAAUCUUACGGAAUGCGGCAGUGGGGAAUAUAGCACAAUGGGGUAAAGCCAGAACCAGCUAUGGCGCUUGAGUGAUGUUGGCCGGAGAGAAGUAAAGCUCUUUUACCCGGGAUUAUAAUGACAGUACCGGGAGAAUAAGCACCGGCUAACUCCGUG
rnacentral:rRNA from 1 species